AUGAAGGCGACGAGCGCCGCCACCGACACGAACGCCCAGAGCGACGUGGCGGGGGACACGAGGUACGCCUCGGCGAGCACGUAUCCCACCAUGAUGAGCCAUGCGAUGCCGUCCGUGGUCAUGGACGCCGACAUGGCGAUGCGGCCGAGGUCCGAGUUGAGGAGGCUGAGCUCGGACAGGAUCGGCGAGAGCACCGCGAAGGACGUGAGCGAGAGCGUGGCUGCGAGCGCGAACUGGAACGUGAGCCGCGUCGACAUGUGAUCCUCCUCCUUGGACAGAGCGUCGCCGGAAAACCCCGCCGCCGUCAGGCCCAGCGCGAUGAGGAAGCCGGAGAGGCCGAUCGUGACGCCCUUCUUGCCGGACCGGAGGGCCUGCAUCGGGUCCAUCCGCACACCGAUGAGGAAGAUGACGUACAUGAGACCGAACGUGGCCACCGUGUUCAGCACCGGCUCCCCCCUCGCCGGGAACACCAGCUGCUUGAACCACUCGUAGCGACACAGCAGCGACGGGCCAAGUAUAAUGCCGCCCUGA
rnacentral:rRNA from 1 species